UACGGAGGGGGCGAGCGUUGUUCGGAAUCAUUGGGCGUAAAGGGCGCGUAGGCGGCCGACCAAGUCGGAUGUGAAAUCCCUCGGCUCAACCGAGGAACUGCACUCGAUACUGGUUGGCUAGAGUCCGGGAGGGGAUAGCGGAAUUCCCAGUGUAGCGGUGAAAUGCGUAGAUAUUGGGAAGAACACCGGUGGCGAAGGCGGCUAUCUGGACCGGAACUGACGCUGAGGCGCGAAAGCCAGGGGAGCGAAUGGG
rnacentral:rRNA from 1 species